rnacentral:rRNA from 1 species
GACGAACGCUGGCGGCGUGCUUAACACAUGCAAGUCGAACGGAAAGGCCCUGCUUUUGCGGGGUGCUCGAGUGGCGAACGGGUGAGUAACACGUGAGUAACCUGCCCUUGACUUUGGGAUAACUUCAGGAAACUGGGGCUAAUACCGGAUAGGAGCUCCUGCUGCAUGGUGGGGGUUGGAAAGUUUCGGCGGUUGGGGAUGGACUCGCGGCUUAUCAGCUUGUUGGUGGGGUAGUGGCUUACCAAGGCUUUGACGGGUAGCCGGCCUGAGAGGUUGACCGGCCGCAUUGGGACUAAGGUACGGCGCAGUCUGCAACGGGAGGCAGCAGUGGGAAAUAUUGCACAGUGGUCGGAAGCCUGAUGCAACAGCGCCGCGUGCGUGAUGACGGCCUUCGGGUUGUAAACCGCUUUCGCCUGUGACGAAGCGUGAGUGACGGUAAUGAGUAAAGAAGCACCGGCUAACUACGUG